CCCUGAGGUGUUAACAUACUUGAUUGCAAAUCUUGAGUAGCAGAGUAACGUCUGCCGGGGCUUUC
rnacentral:tRNA from 1 species